GCAGAGGGACAGAUGUGUGUGGCAGGCACACCUGGCUGCAGGGAGUGGGCAGGCAGCGGGGCCACCUACAUGGGGCCAGGCAAGGGACGCGAGCCCCAGGGCAGCAGGCCCAGCGUGGCGGGGCAGAGGACGGAGAAGCGCGGCCUCCUGCCUUCCCAGGCCCUGGCCUCCCCGGCUCCUCCUUCCACACUCCACCCAGUGGCCUCCCUUCCAGCCUCUGCCUGACCUUGGGCACCACUGUCCCCAACCCUAGGCCUGGACAGUGUAAGCACAGGGCUGAGGCCCCUUCAGCAUCCUCCUGAGAGCAGCUGUUCUGUCAAUGGAGGCUGUCGUUUGUGGAGUGCCUACUGUAUACCAGGCACCACAUACACACACCAUGUGAACCGCAAAUAACCUAGCAAGUUACCCAUGCACAACUGUGGUCUGAAAAUACUAAGUGGAAACUUCCAUAAAUGAACAAGUUACACUUUGCACAUCAGUCUGAGAAACAUAAUGAAAUUUCGGGGUACGGCUCUAUCCUGAGAAGGGCCAGGCUCGAGUCCAUGGCUGCCCUCGGGAACUCCACCCUCCGCCCAGUGCCUGGCACCAAGGCCUCGUCGCAAGAGCUGGCGGGACGACCACUCCUGGUCAGCCAUUCACUGGGCAUCCCUGGCCCCGGCCAUUAUCUCCAUGUAUGGACAAGGAAACCGAGGGCCAGAGAGCUUGUGUGCUUGCCCAAGGCCACACAGAGACUAAGUGGAGGCGCUGGGAUUGGAAACGGUUCCAGAGAGUCACGUUGACAGAUGAGCGACUGAGUAAAGAGAUCCACGUCUGAACCCCAAAGUCCUGACCCAAGUUGCCCGUGGAUGUUUGACUUCACGUCAAUCUUUUUUUUUUGCACUGGGGACUGAACCCAGGGCGCUCUGCCACUGAGCUACACCCCAGCCCUUUAUAAAUAUCUUAAAAUUCUGAGACAGGGUCUCACUAAGACUCCCAAGCUGGCCUGGAACUCACGAUCCUCCUGCCUCAGCCUCCGGAGCUGCUGGGAUGACAGGCACGAGCCCUGUGUCCUGAGCGAGGAUCCUUUUAAGAGGAGACCAGGAGUGUCAGAAGAAAGAGACAGGACGCUGGGAGCGGAGGGAGGAAAGGCCACAAGUGGGAGUGGCGGCCACGUCCAUCUGGAAAGGCACUGGCGACCUGG